rnacentral:misc_RNA from 1 species
AACGCACGAGACCUGCGGACCUGCGGAGGGAUCAUUACAGGACUCGCAAGACUCCUAUAACCCUGUGAACUUACUACAAAGCACGUUGCUUCGGCGGGUGCCUCCGGGUGGUUUUCCUCCUGGAAGCGCUAAGCCCGCCGGCAGCCUACUAAAUUCUGUCUCUUUGCGUUGGCAUCUCGAGUACAAACAAAUAAGUUAAAACUUUCAACAACGGAUCUCU